AGCGCCCGCUGGGGUGCGUCUCCAUGCCCGCCGGCGGGCGCACCGCGUCGUCCGCUCUGCGGCAAUCAGAGAGUUGUGCUGGGGCUCGCUCGUCUUCCCCGGAGUUAGUUGCCUCCUCUCCCGGGUCGCGUCGAGGUCGUACUAAACCGUGGCGGGUCUCCUUUUCUGCCUGCAACAGCCCCGGGUCCCGUCCGGCCGCACGCCCACCUCCAAGGGAGAGUCCCCGGAGCCGAAGAAAAUUCGCUCUGAGCACGCAGAACACAGCAGCGGGCAAAUCAGAGUGCAGAUGAACCCGCCCCCAUUGUGAAACUCACACGGUUUCUACUACUGUGGGCAUCAAAACGUUCUUGACGCGGCCGCAGCCGGAAACUACCCUCGAUCAAGCUAAACUGCCCAGAGCCCAAGCACAGUAACUAUGCCCCCUGCAUAGAGGCACUAACAGCAAGGGUACAUCUGGCAAGAGAUUUGCCAUCCCUGGACAAGUACACGGUUAUACAAUGGUUCCUUGCACACGUGAAUACCUGUGCAUAACCCAGGGCCCCUGCGCAGUGGCUUGCCUGUGACCCUGCAGGGUGACCCAGCACUGAACCACCCUACCCUCUCCUGCAAAAUGGACGUAUACACGAGUCCGUUCAGCCUGCAGUCAACACCUGCUGCAAAUCUUCUACAAGCCUGUAAAGCUUGCCAUUGGGGGCAGGAGGAACAGACACUCAAAGAGUGAGGGGGACCCACGUUAACCCUAAAUUCAGCUUGAGAAUCCAGACCCUCUCUGAACCACCAGAUACUAUUCCUACAGUGGGAACUGCUGAGGCACACCCAAGAUUUUCCACACCUUGUAAAUCGCCACAUAUCAAACUCUCCUUAAAAUAUCUCAUCUCAUGUGCGACUCAGAACGCUUGUGAGAUUCACUCAACCUGACACUCAAUCAACAUCCGUCAACUGACAGCACGGAAAUUAAGAUGAGAAUAACUGUCCCUGAGGCGUUAUGAGCCCUGAAAAAUGGAUGUGGAUCGGUUCUUGGUAGAACCAUUUCCCUUUCUUGAAGAUCACCGCGCCUUGACACCACCCCUUGUAGACUGCAGUCUUCCUCCGGCCCUGCUUCCAUUCUGCUCACUCCGGAUAGUCCUCGACAAAAAAUCUAGAAUAUCUUCAGGCCACUGUUCGGUCUUAGAGAUACAUUUCCAUUCUAUUUAGUGCCUCGGAGAAGUCAUCAUGGUUAAUAUCUGCACUUUAAUGCUCCCUCCUGAGCUAUGGUUCAUCUAGCUAAGUCAUGCUUUAGUGAUAAUUAGGGAAGAGGUGACCGACAUGAGGAUUAGAUUCAUGGCUUAGUUUGUCUGGGAGAUAUAUAUUUUUUUACUGCUAAUUUAUAUGACAAAUCUGGUAGGCACUCUUGGCUAGCAUAAUUUAUUUUACCGGGAUGAGAGGUUGUGUUUUUCUAAUUCUUCAGUUGAGCUUGCUGACCUGUAUAAAGUCAGCAAAAUUCAAUAAUAUUGUUCAAGCAUCCUUGUAGAAUCUAUGCUAAAUACUAGCAAUUGAGUUCAAAUAGAUACAGUUCAGUGUCCUUUGACUAUUCAUAUUGCAAAGCUGACACGAACACGAAACAGUUUAACAUAAUACCACAUAAUAUGCUCACCUGUUGUAAUGAUUUAUUCACAGUUGCUCAGUUGCUUCCUAGCUAAAGUUUUAGCAACUAGGCACUGAGCGCCCCCCUCCCACCAGACCUGCUGAAAUACACUAGAAUUGCCUGGUUCUCACUCAAUAAGGGUGAGAACAUUCAGUGCCAAGUUCCCAAAUCUUAGGCUUGGUCCUCCAAAUGCUUUUACCCUGGACUUCCCUCCUCAGUGACUGGUAGCUUGGUGUUUUGUUUCGAUAUUAGGUUUCAACUGGAUAGAAUGUGUUAAGUAACUUCCUUCUCCACAAUGUACUUUAACUGAACCUCUUCUUCAGAUAUACGGUAAGAGGCCCCUCAGGACAUGGAAAGGCCAUCUGGUCUUGUGGCAUAUAGCUGCAUGCAUCUCUCCAUCCCUCAGGAGAGUUGUACCCACAGUCUGAGCCCCUCCGUCUUUCCAUAAUGCCAGUUGGAGCAGAUCUUAACAACUUGAUCCUGUGUUUUUAUAGGUCAAUUAGCAUUUAUCUGAGUAAUUAACAAGCCCAGUUCCCCACUGUGCUAAACCUCUCAAAAUCAUACAAAACUGGACCUGUAAAUCCUUAAUCCCACUUCCCCACCCUGGCACGGAGCUUGGUGUCAAGCCAUUUUGUGUGGGUUUAUCCUUCAGAGUGCAAUAGGAAAAUCAUUCUGGACUUCAAGAAGGAAAUGUCAAGACAAGAAACAGAAGGAGGCAAAGAGAGGUCAUUGGUGCAACCAUUAAAGAAAAACUUCAGGCUGCCAACUUCAGCUCUAUAGGGAAAUGGGGACUAAAGCCAAAGACAGAUUUCAACCCCAUGUCAGCUGAAGUAUAACAUGCAGUCACUCAUUUGAGCUACCGCUUGAAUUUAUUCCUACAUAUUUGUGACUUUGAAAAUGCAGCAUCAAGCAUGGUGCUAUUUCUCUUGGACUUGGGGCAAAAGGAUUUGAUGUUACUACAGUAACAUUUCGGGGAGGGAGGUGGGAAGGAGAGAACAGUAUGUUCCCACAUUUGGAGACAUUCUCUCUCCCUCGUAACUGCUUUUUCUUAUUCCUGUAUGUAGGGAUUUUGUAAAUUAGCCAUAAAAAAAAAAAAGCCUAUUUCUUACUCAGGCAUCUACUCACACUUUGAAAAGAGAAAAAGGGUUUUUACUAGUUUGACAUUAGCUAACUUAUUGUAGUUUAUUUAUUGGUAGAUGACAGUACUUUUAUAUAUGUCUUAUCUCCACAGUAGAUUGUAAGCUUGGGGAAAGGGAGUCGCUCUAUAGUAGUUAUAGGACUAUGGGAGCAAUGCCCAUGAGUCCGUAUGCAAAUGAGAAUUGGCAUCCCCUCCCUUCCCCUAGGAGGGGAUGAGCACUCAUUCUCAAGGUGCUACAAUUGCUCCACUGAUUUUGGAACUUUGCCAGGGGCAGUCUUCUAGAUCUUUCCAUGAAUUGCCUUUACUUCAGGUCUGGUUCACAAGUCACCCCAAAAUCAGUUUGGAUACUUUACAAUCAUCACACUUCAUGAGUAUUUUUUAAAGAAUUAUUGAGCUAUCCUUUACAUAUAAUAAAAUUCACCCAUUUUAA